rnacentral:rRNA from 1 species
GGUUAAGUGACUAAGCGUACAUGGUGGAUGCCUUGGCAGUCAGAGGCGAUGAAGGACGUACUAACCUGCGAUAAGCCGUGAGCAGUCGGUAAGAGACAUUACGACUCACGGAUUUCCGAAUGGGGAAACCCACUUAGCAUAAGCUAGGUAUCGCUGCGUGAAUACAUAGCGCAGCGAGGCGAACCGGGAGAACUGAAACAUCUAAGUACCCCGAGGAAAAGAAAUCAACCGAGAUUCCCUCAGUAGCGGCGAGCGAACGGGGAUUAGCCCUUAAGCAUCUUGGAAGUUAGUGGAACGGUCCUGGAAAGGCCGGCGAUA